rnacentral:rRNA from 1 species
UACGUAGGGUGCGAGCGUUGUCCGGAAUUAUUGGGCGUAAAGAGCUCGUAGGCGGUGUGUCACGUCGGCCGUGAAAACCUGGGGCUUAACUCUGGGCGUGCGGUCGAUACGGGCAUCACUAGAGUUCGGCAGGGGAGACUGGAAUUCCUGGUGUAGCGGUGAAAUGCGCAGAUAUCAGGAGGAACACCGGUGGCGAAGGCGGGUCUCUGGGCCGAUACUGACGCUGAGGCGCGAAAGCUAGGGGAGCAAACGGG